rnacentral:rRNA from 1 species
CCUACGGGAGGCAGCAGUGAGGAAUAUUGGUCAAUGGGCGGGAGCCUGAACCAGCCAAGUCGCGUGAGGGAAGACGGUCCUAUGGAUUGUAAACCUCUUUAGGCGGGGAGCAAUGCCGGGCACGCGUGCCCGGAGGGAGAGUACCCGCAGAAUAAGCAUCGGCUAACUCCGUGCCAGCAGCCGCGGUAAUACGGAGGAUUCGAGCGUUAUCCGGAUUUAGUGGGUUUAAGGGGUGCGGAGGCGGAUUUUUAAGUCAGCGGUAAAAUGUCCGGGCUCAACCCUGGUCGGCCGUUGAAACUGGGGAUCUUGAGUGGGCGAGAAGUAUGCGGAAUGCGUGGUGUAGCGGUGAAAUGCAUAGAUAUCACGAAGAACUCCGAUUGAGAAGGCAGCAUACCGGCGCCCGACUGACGCUGAGGCACGAAAGCGUGGGGAUCGAACAGGAUUAGAUACCCCUGUAGUC